rnacentral:rRNA from 1 species
AUGGAGAAAACAACUGAUUACAUCUCGGCGGCAGCACAAGUAGUGGCCAUAUUCAUGGUGGCAGCGGCGCUCAUGUCCCCGCUCUGCAGCGCCGCUGCUCCAAGUCCUGCGGCGAUGGGGCUGCCGGGCUGCGAGACCCGCUGCGGCAACGUGAGCGUGCCGUACCCCUUCGGCAUAGGGCCGGCCAGGUUCUACCAUUCGCGGGGGUUCAAGCUCACCUGCGUCGACCACGGAAGCAGCAGCAAGAUCCCGAGGCUUCUGCUCGGCGACGGCGGCGUCAGCGCGUUCGAGGUGGUCGACAUCACGCUGGAGAACAACACGAUGCGCGUCAUCAGCCACGGACUGCACGCCAUAAACAUGAGCGGCGGCUCCGGGCGGUGGAGCCUCGGCGACCCCGAGACCGUUGGUGCCGGCGCGGCGCCGGCGUACUCGCUGAACCCGUGGUUGAACGAGUUCAUCCUCACGGGUUGCAAUGUGCAGGCGACGCUGGUGGGGAACGGGAGCCUCGUCAGCGGCUGCGCUUCUUUCUGCGCCGCCGAUGGCCAUGGCGAUGGCGCCAUCUAUGACCAGGCAACCUCCAACGUCCGCUCCCACAUCGGCUGCUGCCAGUCGUCCAUCCAAGCUGCCAGCACGUCCUACGGCGUGGAGCUCAAGCGGCUCGACGCCAACCUGCCCAAGGCCAGCGAUGUUGAUUUGCCCGUGAACGUGCUCAUCGCCGAGGUGGGCUGGUUCGACUUCGGCCAGACCCUGGACGACCUCAAAGGUCUCUCAAGGAAAGCUGAUCAGCUCAGGGUACCCGUGAUUCUCGGGUGGGGGCUGGCGCACGGCGCAAAAGCAAAAUUUCCCAACUCAAUCGAAUGCCCCGACCAUAUAGCCCGGAGCAUCUGCAAGAGCGACAACAGUUAUUGCACAGACGAAUCAAUGGGCAUCCCUUACCCUUUUGGAGUCGGAAGCUACUCGUGCCAGUGCAAGAAGGGCUACGAGAGCAACCCUUACCUCACCGGAGGAUGCCAACAUAUCAAAGAGCGCAGCUGCCCGGAAGGAACCCAUGUCGACAACUUCGUUCUCGGUGGCUGCGCCAAGUCCACGGACACAACCACAGACACAGGUAACUAUGGUUUAAUCAUUGGUUUCUCGGUUGCUAGCGGACCAUGCAUUCUACUUUUGGUUCUUGGUGUGUUUCUAAUCAGCCGAGAUCUUGAGCAACGCAAAACGAAAGCUUUGAGAGAGAAGUUCUUUGGUCAAAAUCGUGGACAACUGUUAAAGCAGUUGGUAUCUCACAGGGCAGACAUAGCAGAGAGGAUGCUCAUCUCUUUAGGAGAGCUGGAGAAGGCUACCAACAAUUUUGAUCAGGCUCGUAGACUUGGUGGUGGUGGGCAUGGCACUGUCUACAAAGGGAUCUUGUCGGACUUGCAUGUUGUGGCUAUCAAAAAGUCAAAUAUUGUUGUCAAGAGAGAAAUCGACGAGUUCAUAAAUGAGGUCGCCAUACUGUCACAGAUCAACCACAGAAAUAUUAUGAAGCUCCAUGGAUGUUGCCUCGAGACAGAAAUCCCUUUAUUGACUUACGAGUUCAUUUCCAAUGGAACACUCAGUGGCCAUCUUCACAAGGAAGAAGGAGAAUCAUUGCCUUGGAAAGAUAGGUUAAGGAUCACUGGGGAAAUAGAAAAAGCUCUAGCUUACCUUCACUCUGCUAUUUCUGUCCCUGUAAUACAUCGAGAUAUCAAGCCUUCCAACAUACUUCUUGACGAUGCCUUGACAGCAAAAAUAUCAGACUUCGGAGCUUCAAGGUACAUCCCAGUGGAUAAAACUGGAAUAACAACUGCGGUGCAAAAAACUAUUGGGUACUUGGACCCUAUGUAUUAUUAUACUGGACGUCUAACAGAAAAUAGUGAUGUAUAUAGCUUUGGGGUCCUUCUUGUCGAACUGCUUACUAGGAGGAAGCCAUCUUUGUACAGAUCUUCUGAAGGCGAUGGGCUUGUCAUGCAAUUUGUUACGCUACUUGCAGAAGGUAACUUGACCGAAAUAUUGGAUCCACAAAUAGUAGAGGAAGGAGGUAGCGAAGUCAGAGAAGUAGCUAUGCUAGCUGCGUCAUGCGUGAGACUGAAAGUAGAGGAGCGACCAACCAUGAGGCAAGUGGAGAUGGCGUUAGAAGCUCUCCAAUCACCCAAGGAGGGUGUUUGUGGUGAUUUGAUAGAAGGAUCUAACCAUAUGAAAUAUGCAGCAAUGGACAAUCCAUCAGCGAGCCAACAUGCAAAGCGAAGGGAAGCGACCCGGUGUUACAGCCUAGAAGAAGAGUUCCAGCUAUCCGCGAGACACCCUCGAUAG